CCCGAAUAAUUCAGUCGUUAUAUUCCGCUGAUCUACGAAGGCUACAUUAACGCCUGAACGUCUUCCUCGAUCAAGACCGUCAACCGGAAAAUUCACACCGCUUUGCAAUAUGGGAAUUUUGAUUUAAAUUGGCAGCUAAAGAAGGAGGAGUUCCGGAUGUUAAUUGAUGAUAAAUGAUGUAAACUGAUGUUAAUUGAUGUUAAUUAAUUAUUAUCGGAUUUGUGUUAAUUGAACACACGUGUUUAGAAAGACAAUUUCAAGAGAGUUGCGCAGACUCAUAUCCUGAUCGACGCUGAUUGGCUCUCUCUCACAGAGAGCAGGCGACGCGGCCAAUGAUCACAAGGAGUUCA
rnacentral:lncRNA from 1 species